rnacentral:snRNA from 10 species
GAAUUCUGGUUUCUCUUCAGAUUGCAUAAAUCUUUCGCCUUUUACUAAAGAUUUCCGUGGAGAGGAAAAAUGUGAGUGGUAACUUAUUUUUUGAUGCUCUGCCGAAAGGUGGGGCU